AACGCAAAUGGCGCUCUCGGGAUAGACCUGGGAGCACGCCUCUCUGAGUAUCGGUUCAACCAUCACUCGUCUGCGUACUGUGUAAAAGCAGUACUCAUGUACGGAAAAUGAGAGUCCAAGCAGAACUGCUUCGUCUCUUGAAAUAUAUUGAGCUUCGAUCUCCUAGUACUGUGUUCUUCGGAACACUAGCCAGUGUGGCUUUUAUUCAACUAGUGACGUGGAUAACAUCACGUAGUGAUACGAAACGUCGUAGCUUGUUGAGUAAUAUAACCAGUUACAUUGUGCGAAUCGAUUAGGACGAACGAUAGCGUUUGAAUUGAUCCCGUAUUGUAUGUGUGUACUUCGGUACAUGUGUCUAUACGUAUUGACAUUAGAUCUCAGAUGAAGCGAGAAGACCCCCUGAAUUUAA
rnacentral:misc_RNA from 1 species